rnacentral:misc_RNA from 1 species
CAAAUUGCUUUAAAUUCCAUUUCUCCAUUUGUUUUCGUAAAAAUAUCAACUUACAGGUCGAAGAUCGACACAAUCGAGAAAUAACCUGCCUGCAACAAUUGCAGGUAGAUCGGAAACGCGUUGCUCGACAAUUCCCUCGGACAAUAAGCAUGAAAUAACAUUUAACUAGCCGUGGUGGCUUGACCGACAAAUUACGCGGAAUAAUCGAGGAAAAGAGACUAAAUCAUCGGUAUAGUGGAGGGGACAUUGAAGAGUCCAGUCAAAGAG